UUCCUGCGGGGCUCUCCCUCCACACACCCCCUCGCAUUAGUUCACGUUCUCUCUCUCCUGGGUCCCAGGAGGGGGGUAGUAAGAGGUUGCCUUUCUGGAAACGCCCUGAAUCCCCCUGCCUGGUGGGAUUCCAGGUUAAAGCCCCCCCCAAUCCGAGAGGGUCAGGCCAGUGUUUCCUUGGCUUUCUGCCCACCCUCACGUAGGAUUUGGGUCCCUUCUGUGGGAUCUGUUCCCCCUUUUGGACAUUUUGGGGGCCUUCUUGUCCCGUGCUCUGGAAACUCGCUGCAUGAAUCGCUUCUCGGCCUUUUGGGUAAGAUCAAGUGUGGAAACUCGCUGCGUGGUUAGGCUGCCCCCUCCUGCCCACUCUGUUCAGGACCCUCCAUCCUGGAUGUGUCCUCACUGUUGAGCGCUACUCGAAUCCCUGUCCAUGCAACUUGGGCUAAGCGGCCUGUCUUUGUCUUUCCCCUGACCUUUCCCUCGUGUCCCUGCGUCUGCUGUGGGGACAGCUCCUCAACGUACUGUCCCAGCGCCCCCCAGGAAGGGACGUUCUGCUCUGACCAGGGGUCCCCAGCAGCCUCUUCUGGUGCUCACCAUCCUUGCCUCGUGGUAGAACACAUGCCUGCGCUGAGCACAGGGUCUUUGACACCCGAGGUCACACGUCUGCGUUUCCUUCGCCCUGGGUGGUGUCUGCCUUUUACAGGGGGGUGUCCUGCGGAUAUCUGGUGGACUUAUCUGUCCAUGUAUGGUGGGGACAGGGCAGUGGCUGGCAUCCCUGAGUCCAGGGUGUUGGAGUCGGGCGGGCACUCCCAGCCAUUGGUCCCCUCUCUCCUUCUGGUGGUCACUUUGCCCAGACCUGUCCACCUGGCCUAGGAGGCGAUUGGGGAGGGUGUGGUCCCUCACUCUGGCUCCGGAUGGGGCCCCGCGACUCUGCGGGCAGCAGGCUGGGGAGUCUGGUGGUUGCGAUGCUGGGCCCAUCCUGGUGCGUCUGUCCAGCUGCCUACAGCCCGUCCCUCCCUCCACCUGCUCCCGGGCGACCUCUCGUGACCAUUGUCUUCGUCCUCAGGGGUUCACGCUUCUGAAACCUUCCCUUCUGGUCCCUGGGGAGGGAUGUAGGGGUGGACGUGUGUGUGCAUGGUGGGCGUGCCCUCUUGCCCAGCACCCACACACCCCUGCUCUUAACACAUUUGUCCAUUACUUCUGGUCUUAACAAACUCCCAUGUGUGUGCAUGCGUGAGUGUGUGCGUGUGCCUGUCUGUCAGCGUGGGUGUGUGUGCCUGUGCGCGCAGGCUCCUGGCUCUCGCACGGCAGCCAUGAUCUGUGACGUCUGUACGUGUCUUGUGUCCUUCGCCGGUGUUGCCGUGUGGAGCCCUUGGGUGGGCCGUGUGUUUUCCUAGCGGUGCAUGUGCCCGCAAGCAGACAGCCUUGGGCUGGCUGUCGCUGAGGCGAUGCUGCACCCCCUGGGGAGUACCCGGGGCCCCGAGUGCACUCUGACCUGUCCUUGCUGUGUGACGUGCAGGACCGGACGCUGAGGCUCUGGGAGCACCGAAGUGGCCGGGAGUUGCACUGCUGUCACCUGGCCAGCCUGCAGGAACCGGCAGAGCCCUGGGCUGACAAGGCCAUCUAGUCGGUCAGCUCGGGUCUGGCUUCUGUGGACUGUUUGUCUUCUGCUUCUGGGACACGUUCUUCAGCGACCGAGACUCCUGCAGAGCGUCUGCCGCCCGGAGUGUGGCUCGUCCAUGGCUGGGAGCUGUGGUCUCGUACGUUCCGCCAGAGGACAGUUCACUAGCUCUGGCAGGCCGGCCAGCUAGUCUGCACGGGCCUAGGGUGGUCCCCUGAGGCGCCAUCCUCCUGGUGGCCCUGUUGGGCACCCUGCAAGCUGAGGGAAGUCCCCACGCUGGCCAGAGGGGACGUGCGUGAUUCCCGGGUCUGGGGAUGGUUCUUCUCCAAACUCACUCCACCUGGCCUUGAGGGCCCCCUCCUCAGUCGCUGUGGUGUAGGUCCAGCUGCUGCCUAGGUGGGGUGGGGUAGGGUCGGGCAGUUGGUACUGACUUCUGGGGACUGAUGGCUUCUGGGGACCUGGUUUCCGGGUGCGGUCCUCGAGCACACGGCCUGUUUCGGGGACCGCUGACCCAUGCUGUUCCAGGUGGUCAGGAAGGCAGCAUAUGCCGGGGUUUACCACAGUUUCGUUCUGUGUGUGCUGUGGAGGGGGCGGUGUGCACCUCUGCCCGCCGCGCCACAGCGUGUUCUGGGCGGGAGGGGGCACUGGGCGACCGAGCCUUUCCCAGGAAUCACAGUCUUCCAGUUACCCUUCUUGGCGUUUUCAGUGUGGAUUGCUCUUCAAUACAGGUUAUUUUUUUGUAGCCACAUUUUCCAUUGUUUGUUUAUGAUUACCUGGCGGGUGUUCCAUGCUCUGUGCACCUGGGGAGUGGUCUGUGCAGGAAGGAGAGACGCAGGCAAGCAGCACCCCAUGGCCGAGUGGCGGGAGGCUGGCGGGAGGCGCACCGAACCAAGGCUGACUUCCUUCCCGGCCCAGCCCGUUCAGUCCCCCCAGCCCCCUUCCAGCCUGGCUUUUUACUGUGAAAUGGAAGCAAAGUGGCACUUUCUAGGACCCUCAGUGGGAUUUGCCAGGUUUUGAAGCAGAAAAUUGCAAGCCCUACAUUUGGUGUUCUGCUUUGCUGGUUCCAAUUUUGUGAGAAAGGAAUGAAACAACUACAAUAAUAAAGCUAUUUUCCUGA